rnacentral:rRNA from 1 species
UACGUAGGUGGCAAGCGUUAUCCGGAAUUAUUGGGCGUAAAGCGCGCGCAGGUGGUUAAUUAAGUCUGAUGUGAAAGCCCACGGCUUAACCGUGGAGGGUCAUUGGAAACUGGUUGACUUGAGUGCAGAAGAGGGAAGUGGAAUUCCAUGUGUAGCGGUGAAAUGCGUAGAGAUAUGGAGGAACACCAGUGGCGAAGGCGGCUUCCUGGUCUGCAACUGACACUGAGGCUCGAAAGCGUGGGGAGCAAACAGG